UACGGGGGGGGCAAGCGUUGUUCGGAAUUACUGGGCGUAAAGGGUGCGUAGGCGGUCCGCUAAGUUAGAUGUGAAAACUCGGGGCUUAACCCCGAGCCUGCAGUGGAUACGGGCAGACUAGAGGUAGGUAGGGGAGAAUGGAAUUCCCGGUGUAGCGGUGAAAUGCGCAGAUAUCGGGAGGAACACCGGUGGCGAAGGCGGUUCUCUGGGCCUUACCUGACGCUGAGGAGCGAAAGCGUGGGGAGCGAACAGG
rnacentral:rRNA from 1 species